rnacentral:rRNA from 1 species
GACGUAGGGCGCGAGCGUUGUCCGGAUUUAUUGGGCGUAAAGAGCUCGUAGGCGGCUUGUCGCGUCGACUGUGAAAACUCGGGGCUCAACUCCGAGCUUGCAGUGGGUACGGGCAGACUAGAGUGCGGUAGGGGAGACUGGAAUUCCUGGUGUAGCGGUGGAAUGCGCAGAUAUCAGGAGGAACACCGGUGGCGAAGGCGGGUCUCUGGGCCGUAACUGACGCUGAGGAGCGAAAGCAUGGGGAGCGAACAGG